rnacentral:rRNA from 1 species
ACGGGCGCAUGCCAGGACGCGUCCCAGGCGCACCCAGAAACCCUUUGUGAACUUAUACCUUACUGUUGCCUCGGCGCAUGCCGGCCCCCCUGGGGGCCCCUCCUUCUGGAGGAGCAGGCACGCCGGCGGCCAACCUAACUCUUGUUUUUACACUGAAACUCUGAGAAUAAAACAUAAAUGAAUCAAAACUUUCAACAACGGAUCUCUUGGUUCUGGCAUCGAUGAAGAACGCAGCGAAAUGCGAUAAGUAAUGUGAAUUGCAGAAUUCAGUGAAUCAUCGAAUCUUUGAACGCACAUUGCGCCCUCUGGUAUUCCGGAGGGCAUGCCUGUUCGAGCGUCAUUUCAACCCUCAAGCCUGGCUUGGUGAUGGGGCACUGCCUGUAAAAGGGCAGGCCCUGAAAUUCAGUGGCGAGCUCGCCAGGACCCCGAGCGCAGUAGUUAAACCCUCGCUCUGGAAGGCCCUGGCGGUGCCCUGCCGUUAAACCCCCAACUUCUGAAAAUUUGACCUCGGAUCAGGUAGGAAUACCCGCUGAACUUAAGCAUAUCAAUAAGCGGAGGAA